AUUGAACGCUGGCGGCAGGCCUAACACAUGCAAGUCGAGCGGAUGAAGGGAGCUUGCUCCUGGAUUCAGCGGCGGACGGGUGAGUAAUGCCUAGGAAUCUGCCUGGUAGUGGGGGAUAACGUCCGGAAACGGGCGCUAAUACCGCAUACGUCCUGAGGGAGAAAGUGGGGGAUCUUCGGACCUCACGCUAUCAGAUGAGCCUAGGUCGGAUUAGCUAGUUGGUGGGGUAAAGGCCUACCAAGGCGACGAUCCGUAACUGGUCUGAGAGGAUGAUCAGUCACACUGGAACUGAGACACGGUCCAGACUCCUACGGGAGGCAGCAGUGGGGAAUAUUGGACAAUGGGCGAAAGCCUUGUCCAGCCAUGCCGCGUGUGUGAAGAAGGUCUUCGGAUUGUAAAGCACUUUAAGUUGGGAGGAAGGGCAGUAAGUUAAUACCUUGCUGUUUUGACGUUACCAACAGAAUAAGCACCGGCUAACUUCGUG
rnacentral:rRNA from 1 species